rnacentral:tRNA from 1 species
GGGGCCUUAGCUCAGCUGGCAGAGCGCCUGCUUUGCAAGCAGGAAGUCAGGAGUUCGAAUCUCCUAGGCUCCA